ACGUAGGGAGCGAGCGUUGUCCGGAUUUACUGGGUGUAAAGGGUGCGUAGGCGGGCUGUCAAGUCAGAUGUGAAAUACCGGGGCUCAACUCCGGGGCUGCAUUUGAAACUGAUGGUCUUGAGUGAAGUAGAGGCAGGCGGAAUUCCUAGUGUAGCGGUGAAAUGCGUAGAUAUUAGGAGGAACACCAGUGGCGAAGGCGGCCUGCUGGGCUUUAACUGACGCUGAGGCACGAAAGCAUGGGGAGCAAACAG
rnacentral:rRNA from 1 species